UACGUAGGGGGCAAGCGUUGUCCGGAAUCAUUGGGCGUAAAGCGCGCGUAGGCGGCCCGGUAAGUCCGCUGUGAAAGUCCAGGGCUCAACCCUGGAAUGCCGGUGGAAACUGUCGAGCUAGAGUCCGGAAGAGGCGAGUGGAAUUCCUGGUGUAGCGGUGAAAUGCGCAGAUAUCAGGAGGAACACCAAUGGCGAAGGCAGCUCGCUGGGACGGUACUGACGCUGAGACGCGAAAGCGUGGGGAGCAAACAGG
rnacentral:rRNA from 1 species